GGCGUGCCGGUGCAGAGACGGGCUCGGGGAGAGCGAAUUAACGGUUACUGAGCUCGAGUAGGCGUCGAGUGGCCGGUGUGAUCGCUGUGUGGCCGGAGCGGUGGUGGGUGAGCGAGCGGAACUUACCGGCGGCGGCGCCAGUCGAGCCCGUGCCGUGGCGGGUCCGGUGGGCUCGGUCGGUCGCGCUGGGGCACCAUUUAUGCCUGCUGGUGGCAGGCAUGGAUUGGCGAGGCCGGUGAGGAUGGAGCGGUGGCGGGCGCGAAACGGUAGUUACCGGCGGCGGCUGCACAAGUAGAGACCUUGGGCGCCGUGACGGGAGGGGAGGGAUAUUUUUCGGUGGGUUCCGGGAGCUUUUCGUGGUAUAGUGAGAUGGAGAGGGAGUGACUGGGUGGGCAACGUCGUUGUGUUGGUCUCCUCCAGCAGAAGAGGCUAAGGCCGUUGAUGACGGCGGCGGUGACAAGCCUACCAAGGCUGCGGCAGGCCGGGAAGGAGAGUGUUCAAAUAGGUGGUGAUCGGAGGAACUCGUGGGUAACUAGGUGGGGGUGUGAGUUAAAACGGGCCCUCGGUGGUAUCCGCUUUGUGGGUUAAGCAGAGGCGGCCUCGAGGAGCCCACUCGAGCGGCGGCCGCUGAGGGAGGUGAGGUCGCUGUUUCCUCCCAUGGGUGUACAGGCGGAGUUGGAAGACUCGAGCAUCCUCCGGAGCCAAAAGGUUUGCCACGGCGGAAAGCGGCCGCGGCUGGCGGCCUCGAGGCGGAGACAAGCCGGCCUCUUCCUCCGCGCGCGCACCUGACCAGUUUGGACUGGUCACCCGGCCCGCCCGGGUGACGGUCACUGAGUCGCGCCACGGUCGAGUAAAAUUCACCUCUGCAAAAGGGGUUUCAUGCAGAGGAGGUGGCCUUUUGCAUGUUAUCAUUUCUGCGGAAGCUGCAGCGUUGGGAGGGUGCGUCGGUUUGCUGACCCGAGCCGGGUCAUCGCGAUCCGCCGAUAUGACGCGGGUCCCGCGCAAAGACGAGUCGGGUAGUGUCUUUACCUCCCCUCUAUAUUAAAGGUUCAAAACCUCACGCGGAUUAGAAAGACGUACGAGUUCUAGUACUAAGUCUCUCCUCAUGAUGCUUCGGUGGGGCAUUGGAUCCUAAGCCUCUAUCGUUGGCGCGCUCUAUCCUCAAUAGGUCCAGUCGACAAGGGCACCCUUACCUCAAGGUAGUCGCAACCUCUAGGUGCUCAGCGAAGGUAAUAAACGGUGAGCUUUAGUAACAACAUGAGUUACCUGGAUAUUCCAGAACAUGAGUUUAGGAACAUUAAAGAACCUUAAGACAUAGUUCCUUUAUAGGUGGUCGUUGUCAUUAGGACCCCGACCACCACUGUAUUCCCAGCAAACGACCCUUAAAUACAGGGCCUUUAGGCCGGGGCUGUACUAACCCCGUACUUAUAUUGUAACUAAAUUCGGAGGGGGUUCGAACUCGUUACGAAAGAGGAAUCGUUCCGG
rnacentral:rRNA from 1 species